rnacentral:rRNA from 1 species
UACGUAGGCAGCAAGCGUUGUUCGGAAUUACUGGGCGUAAAGAGUGUGUAGGCGGUGCUCUAAGUUCGGUGUGAAAUCUCCCGGCUCAACUAGGAGGGUGCGCCGGAAACUGGGGUGCUGGAGCGCGGGAGAGGAAAGCGGAAUUCCUGGUGUAGCGGUGAAAUGCGUAGAUAUCAGGAGGAACACCGGCGGUGUAGACGGCUUUCUGGACCGUAGCUGACGCUGGAGACACGAAAGCGUGGGUAGCAAACAGG